GGUUUGGUACCAUUAAAACGUUUAAUCCCGCUGCAAAUGUUUGCAGCUGUCCUAAGUCAGGAAUCUGAUGUUCAGUAGUUAUCGUUUGUUUAUAUAAUUUAUACGUGUUUCUCGUUUCUCGUUUUUUUUAUAUAGAUUAGACCGUUGGUUUUCCCGUUUGAAUGGUUUUACACUAGUAAUUUUGGGGCCCUUUAUAGCUUGUUGUUCGGUGUGAGCCAAGGCUCCGUGUUGAAGGCCGUACAUUGACCUAUAAUGGUUUACUUUUUUGAAUUGUUAUUUGGAUUUAGAGUUGUCUCAUUGGCACUCACACCACAUCUUCCUAUAUCUA
rnacentral:lncRNA from 1 species